AAUCAGAGACUUGAAGCAUAAACAAGGUGGGAAUCCCAAGCCCUCAAUAAGGUUCCCUGUUGAAUACUGUGUGCAAGAAAGAGUCUUGUUUGGUCGAAGGAAGGGUAGGAAGGAACAGAGAGCACAGCAAUGGAGGGUGGCAACAGCAACAACAACAACCCUGAGGACCUGGCGGUGGGGUGUUUGCUGUCGAUCAGGACAACGUUGGGCGACGAAUUCGAAGGCCAGGUUGUCACCUACGAUCGACCCUCCAACAUCCUUGUACUCCAGGAACCUUCCAAACAUGGCCCUCGUCGGAACAUUAGGUUGCUCAAGGCUAAUUACAUCAAAGAAUUCACCUUUCUCGGCCAGGCCGAAGACCCACUUGAUCCUACCAACUGCUUCCUUGACCUCGCCGCUCUCCAAGCUAGGGAAGAAGUUGCUAUCAGACAAGCAGAGGCUGAUGCUGAGAGGAUUGGGGUUGGGGUUACCAGCGAGGCGCAGAGCAUCUUCGAUGCUUUGUCCAAAACGCUUCCAGUCCGCUGGGACAAGACAGUCAUAGUUGUGAUGAAUGAUGUGCGUGUCAGCAGUCCUUAUCACCCUGAAUCUGUUGUUGGAGGUACUCCUGCUGCAAAUGAACGAGUGAAGAAAGUGCUUGACUUUGAGAGGAAGAGGUUGCAACUUCGCAGUUCUGGUGGUCAGUAAAGCUUCAUAUUUGCAUCCUUUUACAGUCAGGAAAGCGCCACCCAGGAGUAAACAUGAUGGGUAUGUUUCUUUUAACAAACCCUAUACAAGAGGGUUUUCCAAGGCAUAUUCCUGACUUCAGAUAUCUUUUGAUUAUCUGCUGUCUUGAGCUCUCAAGUUCUGUCUUGCUUAUGGAGUUCAUUUGAGGUACUUCCUCCGGAUUCUUCUUAGGAGUGAAUGCUGAAGCAUAUGAUGUAUGGUGUGUUACACUUGGAAACCUAACAGGUGUGAUUUGGAGCCGAAGUUGUCUUUUGUGGGCUGAAGGUUCUGCUCUGUUCCAGUUGUAUCCGGUCUUUGUUCUAUCUGAUGCCCAUUUAUGCCUAAUUGUAUUGUUUUCCUCUCUCUUUUCAUUUGGGUUCUAUUGUGUCUCCCAACGAAUCAGAAUGUUGGCAUCUACUGGAAGUGAAAAUUUCAUCAUGCUUGAGCUCAGUUUCGUCCUCUCUUUCUCGCUUCACUACAACUGCUCUCCCCUCACCCCUACUCCAAUACUCAAGAUUCCGAUAUUGCCAUAAAGCUGUCUGCGGUUCUAGCUCAGACUCUUGAUGCUUUUCUGAUCUGAUUUCAGCAAUGAUUUUCUUUCACUUUUUAUUUUCAUUGAGAUC